rnacentral:tmRNA from 1 species
GGGGCUGACAGGUUUCGAUCAUGAGCUUGUAUGUCUUGAGAAGCGUGCCGGGAAGCAACGUCCCGUAACAGUGCAAACCCAAUAAACGCAGCUUUCACCGCGUCCGACUACGCCGCAGCGGCUUAGUCCAGUGGGGCACAACGGUUCACCCGUUCCGUGUGCCAAUCCACUGCCGAAAUACGGGGAACCCUCGCAGGAAUUGAGCACCACGUCGCAAGAGGCAAAAUAGCGGAAGUCAUGAGCAGAGCCGGAAUGGAGACCGGCAACCGCCUCGCGGAGGGCAGCGGUAUAGAAGUCGCCAAACGCUACGCACGUAGAAGGCUUGACAAACACUGCAUGAGACCCGAGUUCGAUUCUCGGCAGCUCCACAA